rnacentral:rRNA from 1 species
CCUACGGGAGGCAGCAGUGGGGAAUAUUGGACAAUGGACGAAAGUCUGAUCCAGCAAUGCCGCGUGAGUGAUGAAGGCCUUAGGGUUGUAAAGCUCUUUUACCAGGGAUGAUAAUGACAGUACCUGGAGAAUAAGCUCCGGCUAACUCCGUGCCAGCAGCCGCGGUAAUACGGAGGGAGCUAGCGUUGUUCGGAAUUACUGGGCGUAAAGCGCACGUAGGCGGUUAUUCAAGUCAGAGGUGAAAGCCCGGGGCUCAACCCCGGAACUGCCUUUGAAACUAGAUAGCUAGAAUCCUGGAGAGGUGAGUGGAAUUCCGAGUGUAGAGGUGAAAUUCGUAGAUAUUCGGAAGAACACCAGUGGCGAAGGCGGCUCACUGGACAGGUAUUGACGCUGAGGUGCGAAAGCGUGGGGAGCAAACAGGAUUAGAUACCCCGGUAGUCCACGCCGUAAACGAUGAUAACUAGCUGUCCGGGCACAUGGUGCGUUGGGUGGCGCNGCGUACGACAUUAAGUUAUUCCGUCCGUCGGGUAGGUACGGUCGCGAGAGUAAACUACGAAGAAGUAAGUAGCGUUGAGAGUUGCGACGGCGACGACGAGGGAGGAGG